AGCGAGAGGAACUAUGAGACAGAUCUUUCUGGAUUGAGCCCAGAUAUGACAACCAAAAACCUCAAUGCAGUUGCUGCUUCAUCUGUGUGUUUGCAGUGCUGAUAAACAAAGUGUGUCUGCAGGUCACAGUAGAGGCUGUUAUUGGUGGUUCUGUUGUUCUGCCGUGUUCUUCAGAUGAACAUGAUCAUACACUUCAAGACAUU